AUGAAGAGGUCGUCAAAUUAGCUGAUAAAUAUGCAGAUAUAUAUCAUGAUCAAGUGAUGGAAUGUAUGAAAAGAAUCAAAAAACUUCCAUUAAUGUCUGAUGUUGUUAAAGAAAGUGAAGAUGAUGAACCUACAUGCCAUUUGAUGACCAAAAGUUUAGAUACCAAACAUGCACACUCUGAACCUACAGAAAGUUUACAUACUGAAGGUGCACCUUCCAAUUCAACCGCAAGUGUACAUACUGAAAGCACACGCCCUGAGCCAAUUGAAAUUGAAAACACUGAAAACGUACACCCUGGGCUAACCGAAAAACAAGUUACUUUUGUUGAUAGUAUGGGUACACAAAUUGUAAGAGGGAUUAAAGUAAAGCCCAAAGUUCGAGGCAACCAUUGUACAUUUAAAAAUCCACUAGAUCAAGUGAGGAAGAAAAGAUCCUUAUCUGAAACCGUUUAACCACAAGCAAGUCAAAUAUUAAUGGUGAAGGAAAACAAUCAUGCACCAUGUGUCAUUUCAACCUUCACAUUAUAUGGUGAUGCUUCCUAACCCUAGUGGAUCUAUCAAUGCAUCAGUGGCUCAGUGUAGGUACCAACUACAUGAUGCUAGCAUGUUCCAACAAAACCUUUUCAACGUCGGAUAUCAGAAUUCAAAUAUUACCGGAGUGAGUUGUUCUGGAUCCCAACCAAGUAUUAACUUCUACUAGCAAAAUCCCUCAAGCACCCCACAUAAUUCAUCUACGGGAAGCGUCUUGCUUAUCCAACCAUCAUUACCAUCAUAUGAUAACAAUCAAUUAUUGCGGUGUGAAGAUUGUCACCCAUGUUCGAGUAAUUAGUAUUUCUUUUUUUCAAAGG